rnacentral:rRNA from 1 species
ACGUACACUCCUGCGGGAGGCAGCAGUAGGGAAUCUUCGGCAAUGGGGGCAACCCUGACCGAGCAACGCCGCGUGAGUGAAGAAGGUUUUCGGAUCGUAAAGCUCUGUUGUAAGUCAAGAACGAGUGUGAGAGUGGAAAGUUCACACUGUGACGGUAGCUUACCAGAAAGGGACGGCUAACUACGUGCCAGCAGCCGCGGUAAUACGUAGGUCCCGAGCGUUGUCCGGAUUUAUUGGGCGUAAAGCGAGCGCAGGCGGUUUGAUAAGUCUGAAGUUAAAGGCUGUGGCUCAACCAUAGUUCGCUUUGGAAACUGUCAAACUUGAGUGCAGAAGGGGAGAGUGGAAUUCCAUGUGUAGCGGUGAAAUGCGUAGAUAUAUGGAGGAACACCGGUGGCGAAAGCGGCUCUCUGGUCUGUAACUGACGCUGAGGCUCGAAAGCGUGGGGAGCGAACAGGAUUAGAUACCCCAGUAGUCCC